GACGAACGCUGGCGGCGUGCUUAAUACAUGCAAGUCAACUUGUCUUACGGUAGCAAUAUCGUAAGAAGAGUGGCGCACGGGUGCGUAACGCGUAGGUAAUCUGCCUUUGGGUCUGCCGUAAUCCAGCGAAAGCUGGACUAAUAUCAGAUGAUGCAGCGGCACCACAUGGUGACAGUUGUUAAAGUUUUAACGCCCAAACGAAUGAGCCUGCGUCCCAUAGGUAGUUGGUAGAGUAAUAGCUACCAAGCCAACGAUGGUAGCUGGUCUGAGAGGACGAUCAGCCACACUGGAAC
rnacentral:rRNA from 1 species